rnacentral:lncRNA from 13 species
GGACUGUGGGGCACAGGAGGACAGAUGACUCAGCCAGGUCAUGAGAACAGGCUUCCUGGAGCAGGAGCAUCUCCAUGGAGACCUGAAGAAUAAGAAGUAACCCUGCAAGGGAGAUUGUGGUAUUCCAGGUGAGGUAUUCAAGGUCAGGAAACAGUAGGUGCAAAGGCUUGAAGAUUGGGGUUUCUGGAAAUCACUCACUCAAGGGUAGGUGAAGGAUAACUGCCUGAGCAUUAAGCAGUCACCUUGGCCAUUCCCUCAGGAUAGGACCUUCCUAACACGUCACCCUCUGAAACUCACACUCUUUCCCUCUUGGGAGGUGAUUCCUGGGAUGUAACCGCCAUCUUUCCUGUUACAGCCAAAGCCCUUUUCAAAGGCUCUGGAGAUGCACCAUUAGGCAUAGGAGGUGUGGAAGAGGAACUGGAGCAGCACAAGGAACUGGAGCGGGGCCGAUGACCUUCACCUCUGCAGAGCAGGAGGAUGGACUGAAGCUAAACCCAAGGCAGAACUUUGUCCUUGGGCAGAUACGGCAUCUACAUGGCUAUCCGGGGCUGGCCAGGCAACUCCAGUCAUCAGAAAGCCAGAAUUCUGCCAGGAUAGAAGAAUGUGGUGGCUAUAUGAACAGAUUCUAGGACCAUAUUGUAUGGGUUUAAACCAUGGAUCUGCCACUUACCAGCUGUGUGAUCCUGGGCACUCUAUUUAGCUUCUCCAUGCUGAGUUUCAUCAUCUCUCAAAGAGGAUGACAUAGUACCCAUCUGCAGUAGGGAGAAUAACAUUUCCCCAAAGAUGUCUGAGUCCUAAUCGCUAGAAUCUUUGAAUGUUACCUUAUGCGGAAAGAAGGACUUUGCAGAAGUGAUUGAGUUAAACAUUUUGAGUUGAUGGUAUUAUCCUGGAUUAUCCAGGUGGACUCCAUGAAAUCCAAGGGUCCUUAUAAGAGGGAGGCAGGAGGUUAGAGUAGUGAUAGGAGAUGUGAGGAUGGAGGCAAGCAGUCGUGGUGGGAACAGGAAAGGCCCACGAGCCGAGGAAUGUAGGUGACCUAUAGAAGCUGAAAAAGGUAAGGAAAUGGAUUUUCUUGAGUCUCCAGAAGGAAAGACACACUGAUGUUAGAUGUCUGAACUGUAGGAGAAUCACUUUGUGUUGCUUUAAGCCACUAAGUUUGUGGUUAAUUUGUUACAGCAGCAAUCGGAAGUGAUUACACAUCCCAUUGGGUUAAAAGAAUUCAUACAUGCAAAACACUUUGAAAGGUGCCUGAUGGGUAGUUAUCAUGUAUAUAAUUGUUAGCUGCCAUUAUAAUAUUUAUGACAAAACUCUUGGCCUGGGCUGGGUGCAGUGGCUGACACCUGUAAUCUCAGCACUUUGGGAGGCUGAGGUAGGCAGAUCACUUGAGGUCAGGAGUUCGAGACCAGCCUGGCCAACAUGGUGAAACCCUGUCUCUAUUAAAAAUACAAAAAUGAGCCAGAUGUGGUGGUACAUGCCUGUAAGACCAGCUAUUCAGGAGGCUGAGGCAUGAGAAUUGCUUGAACCUGGGAGGCAGGGUUGCAGUCAGCUGAUAUCACACCAACGCUCUCCAGCCUAGGUGACAGAGCAAGACUUUGUCCCAAAAAGAAAAAAACUCUCAGCCUAGGUCAGAGA